rnacentral:rRNA from 1 species
CAGUCGAACGGCAGCGCGGGGCAACCUGGCGGCGAGUGGCGAACGGGUGAGUAAUAUAUCGGAACGUGCCCUGGAGUGGGGGAUAACGCAGCGAAAGUUGCGCUAAUACCGCAUACGAUCUAAGGAUGAAAGCGGGGGAUUCGCAAGAACCUCGUGCUCCUGGAGCGGCCGAUAUCUGAUUAGCUAGUUGGUGGGGUAAAGGCCUACCAAGGCAUCGAUCAGUAGCUGGUCUGAAAGGACGACCAGCCACACUGGAACUGAAACACGGUCCAAACUCCUACGGGAGGCAGCAGUGGGGAAUUUUGGACAAUGGGCGAAAGCCUGAUCCAGCAAUGCCGCGUGAGUGAAAAAGGCCUUCGGGUUGUAAAGCUCUUUUGUCAGGGAAGAAACGGUGUGGGCUAAUAUCCUGCACUAAUGACGGUACCUGAAGAAUAAGCACCGGCUAACUACGUGCCAGCAGCCGCGGUAAUACGUAGGGUGCAAGCGUUAAUCGGAAUUACUGGGCGUAAAGCGUGCGCAGGCGGUUUUGUAAGUCUGUCGUGAAAUCCCCGGGCUUAACCUGGGAAUUGCGAUGGAGACUGCAAGGCUAGAAUCUGGCAGAGGGGGGUAGAAUUCCACGUGUAGCAGUGAAAUGCGUAGAGAUGUGGAGGAACACCGAUGGCGAAGGCAGCCCCCUGGGUCAAGAUUGACGCUCAUGCACGAAAGCGUG